AAGUCGUAACAAGGUUUCCGUAGGUGAACCUGCGGAAGGAUCAUUAACACAAGUAAAAAAACAUUUUACAACACCCUAUUAUGAAUUUAAAUUUUUUAAUUUUUAAUUUUUUUAUAAAACUACAUUUAAUUUAUUUGACUAACAUUUUUUAAUUAAUUUAUUUAAAAUUUUAUAAAACAACUCUUAACAACGGAUAUCUUGGCUCUC
rnacentral:misc_RNA from 1 species